rnacentral:rRNA from 1 species
GACGAACGCUGGCGGCGUGCCUAAUACAUGCAAGUAGAACGCUGAAGAGAGGAGCUUGCUCUUCUUGGAUGAGUUGCGAACGGGUGAGUAACGCGUAGGUAACCUGCCUUGUAGCGGGGGAUAACUAUUGGAAACGAUAGCUAAUACCGCAUAACAAUGGAUGACACAUGUCAUUUAUUUGAAAGGGGCAAUUGCUCCACUACAAGAUGGACCUGCGUUGUAUUAGCUAGUAGGUGAGGAAAUGGCUCACCUAGGCGACGAUACAUAGCCGACCUGAGAGGGUGAUCGGCCACACUGGGACUGAGACACGGCCCAGACUCCUACGGGAGGCAGCAGUAGGGAAUCUUCGGCAAUGGGGGCAACCCUGACCGAGCAACGCCGCGUGAGUGAAGAAGGUUUUCGGAUCGUAAAGCUCUGUUGUAAGUCAAGAACGGGUGUGAGAGUGGAAAGUUCACACUGUGACGGUAGCUUACCAGAAAGGGACGGCUAACUACGUG